UACGGAGGGAGCUAGCGUUAUUCGGAAUUACUGGGCGUAAAGCGCACGUAGGCGGCUUUGUAAGUAAGAGGUGAAAGCCUGGAGCUCAACUCCAGAAUUGCCUUUUAGACUGCAUCGCUUGAAUCAUGGAGAGGUGAGUGGAAUUCCGAGUGUAGAGGUGAAAUUCGUAGAUAUUCGGAAGAACACCAGUGGCGAAGGCGGCUCACUGGACAUGUAUUGACGCUGAGGUGCGAAAGCGUGGGGAGCAAACAGG
rnacentral:rRNA from 1 species